rnacentral:rRNA from 1 species
GAUGAACGCUAGCGGCAGGCCUAACACAUGCAAGUCGAGGGGCAGCACGUCUUCGGAUGGUGGCGACCGGCGCACGGGUGCGUAACGCGUAUGCAACCUACCUCUUACAGUGGGAUAGCCCAGAGAAAUUUGGAUUAAUACCGCAUAGUAUACAGAUUCAGCAUUGGGACUGUAUUAAACAUUUAUGGGUAAGAGAUGGGCAUGCGUUCUAUUAGUUAGUUGGAGUGGUAACGGCACCCCAAGACAGCGAUAGAUAGGGGCCCUGAGAGGGGGAUCCCCCANACUGGUACUGAGACACGGACCAGACUCCACGGGAGGCAGCAGUGAGGAAUNUUCGGACAAUGGGCGAGAGCCUGAUCCAGCCAUGCCGCGUGCAGG